rnacentral:rRNA from 1 species
GUCUUCGGCCAUGCCUCCCUGAACAAGCCCAAUCUCGUCUGAUCUCAGAAGCUAAGGAGGGUCAGGCCUGGUUAGUACUUGGAUGGGAGACCACCUAGAAGACCAGGUGCUGUAGGCG